GUCGAGAAUCUUCCGCAAUGCGCGAAAGCGUGACGGAGCGACACCGCGUGAUGGAUGAAGUCCUUCGGGGCGUAAACAUCUUUUAUAAAGGAGGAAAUUUUUGACGUUACUUUAUGAAUAAGGGGCUCCCAAUCUCGUUCCAGCAGGAGCGGUAAUACGAGAGCCUCAAGCGUUAUCCGGAAUCAUUGGGCGUAAAGGGUGCGUAGGUGGUUUGAUUAGUCUCCCGUUAAAACUUCGAACUUAACUCGAAAAGAGCGGGGGAAACGGUCAAACUAGAGUAUGUGAGAGGUGUGUGGAACUCAUGGUGUAGGGGUGAAAUCCGUUGAUAUCAUGGGGAACACCAAAAGCGAAGGCAGCACACUGGCACAUCACUGACACUGAGGCACGAAACCUAAGGUAGCGAAUGGGAUUAGAAACCCGGGUAGUCC
rnacentral:rRNA from 1 species